rnacentral:rRNA from 1 species
UCGUCACACUAUCAUUAACUGAAUCCAUAGGUUAAUGAGGCGAACCGGGGGAACUGAAACAUCUAAGUACCCCGAGGAAAAGAAAUCAACCGAGAUUCCCCCAGUAGCGGCGAGCGAACGGGGAGGAGCCCAGAGCCUGAAUCAGCAUGUGUGUUAGUGGAAGCGUCUGGAAAGGCGCGCGAUACAGGGUGACAGCCCCGUACACAAAAGCGCAUGUGCUGUGAGCUCGAUGAGUAGGGCGGGACACGUGGUAUCCUGUCUGAAUAUGGGGGGACCAUCCUCCAAGGCUAAAUACUCCUGACUGACCGAUAGUGAACCAGUACCGUGAGGGAAAGGCGAAAAGAACCCCGGCGAGGGGAGUGAAAAAGAACCUGAAACCGUGUACGUACAAGCAGUGGGAGCNNGGGCGUUAAGUUGCAGGGUAUAGACCCGAAACCCGGUGAUCUAGCCAUGGGCAGGUUGAAGGUUGGGUAACACUAACUGGAGGACCGAACCGACUAAUGUUGAAAAAUUAGCGGAUGACCUGUGGCUGGGGGUGAAAGGCCAAUCAAACCGGGAGAUAGCUGGUUCUCCCCGAAAGCUAUUUAGGUAGCGCCUCGUGAAUUCAUCUCCGGGGGUAGAGCACUGUUUCGGCUAGGGGGCCAUCCCGGCUUACCAACCCGAUGCAAACUGCGAAUACCGGAGAAUGUUAUCACGGGAGACACACGGCGGGUGCUAACGUCCGUCGUGAAGAGGGAAACAACCCAGACCGCCAGCUAAGGUCCCAAAGUCAUGGUUAAGUGGGAAACGAUGUGGGAAGGCCCAGACAGCCAGGAUGUUGGCUUAGAAGCAGCCAUCAUUUAAAGAAAGCGUAAUAGCUCACUGGUCGAGUCGGCCUGCGCGGAAGAUGUAACGGGGCUAAACCAUGCACCGAAGCUGCGGCAGCGANNGAAGGUGGCCUGUGAGGGUUGCUGGAGGUAUCAGAAGUGCGAAUGCUGACAUAAGUAACGAUAAAGCGGGUGAAAAGCCCGCUCGCCGGAAGACCAAGGGUUCCUGUCCAACGUUAAUCGGGGCAGGGUGAGUCGACCCCUAAGGCGAGGCCGAAAGGCGUAGUCGAUGGGAAACGGGUUAAUAUUCCCGUACUUGGUGUUACUGCGAAGGGGGGACGGAGAAGGCUAUGUUGGCCGGGCGACGGUUGUCCCGGUUUAAGCGUGUAGGUGUGUGUUCCAGGUAAAUCCGGUUCACUUUAACACUGAGGCGUGACGACGAGGCACUACGGUGCUGAAGCAACAAAUGCCCUGCUUCCAGGAAAAGCCUCUAAGCAUCAGGUAACAUCAAAUCGUACCCCAAACCGACACAGGUGGUCAGGUAGAGAAUACCAAGGCGCUUGAGAGAACUCGGGUGAAGGAACUAGGCAAAAUGGUGCCGUAACUUCGGGAGAAGGCACGCUGACACGUAGGUGAAGUGAUUUACUCAUGGAGCUGAAGUCAGUCGAAGAUACCAGCUGGCUGCAACUGUUUAUUAAAAACACAGCACUGUGCAAACACGAAAGUGGACGUAUACGGUGUGACGCCUGCCCGGUGCCGGAAGGUUAAUUGAUGGGGUCAGCGCAAGCGAAGCUCCUGAUCGAAGCCCCGGUAAACGGCGGCCGUAACUAUAACGGUCCUAAGGUAGCGAAAUUCCUUGUCGGGUAAGUUCCGACCUGCACGAAUGGCGUAAUGAUGGCCAGGCUGUCUCCACCCGAGACUCAGUGAAAUUGAACUCGCUGUGAAGAUGCAGUGUACCCGCGGCAAGACGGAAAGACCCCGUGAACCUUUACUAUAGCUUGACACUGAACAUUGAGCCUUGAUGUGUAGGAUAGGUGGGAGGCUUUGAAGUGUGGACGCCAGUCUGCAUGGAGCCGACCUUGAAAUACCACCCUUUAAUGUUUGAUGUUCUAACGUGGACCCGUGAUCCGGGUUGCGGACAGUGUCUGGUGGGUAGUUUGACUGGGGCGGUCUCCUCCUAAAGAGUAACGGAGGAGCACGAAGGUUGGCUAAUCCUGGUCGGACAUCAGGAGGUUAGUGCAAUGGCAUAAGCCAGCUUGACUGCGAGCGUGACGGCGCGAGCAGGUGCGAAAGCAGGUCAUAGUGAUCCGGUGGUUCUGAAUGGAAGGGCCAUCGCUCAACGGAUAAAAGGUACUCCGGGGAUAACAGGCUGAUACCGCCCAAGAGUUCAUAUCGACGGCGGUGUUUGGCACCUCGAUGUCGGCUCAUCACAUCCUGGGGCUGAAGUAGGUCCCAAGGGUAUGGCUGUUCGCCAUUUAAAGUGGUACGCGAGCUGGGUUUAGAACGUCGUGAGACAGUUCGGUCCCUAUCUGCCGUGGGCGCUGGAGAACUGAGGGGGGCUGCUCCUAGUACGAGAGGACCGGAGUGGACGCAUCACUGGUGUUCGGGUUGUCAUGCCAAUGGCACUGCCCGGUAGCUAAAUGCGGAAGAGAUAAGUGCUGAAAGCAUCUAAGCACGAAACUUGCCCCGAGAUGAGUUCUCCCUGAGACUU